UCAUCUUAUAAAUGUUACUGGAAGAAAAGUUAAAAAAAUAUAAGAAAAGUGUUAGAAAUAGAAAAAAAUACUUUUUUCAUCAUGUUCAUCUUUAGUUCAGAAACUUCUGUUUCUGUGGUUCAUCAGUGAUGCCUGUCUGUUACCAUGGUUACUGAUCUUAGAGAGGGAAGUGAAACUCUCAGUAGUUUGAUCUCAGCUCUAAAAUGUUUUCUCUGUUUCUCUGCAGUGGGUCAUGUGCCCCCCUCCCUGACCGUGCUCCUCCCCUCCACCAAGGAGCUGCAGCAGGGGAAGGCCACACUCAUGUGUGUGGCCAACAAGGGCUUCCCCUCAGACUGGACUCUGUCCUGGAAGGUGGUCGGCAGCAGCAGCAGCAACUGGGAGGAGAGCAGGAGCCCCGGGGUGCUGCAGAAGGACGGCCUCUACAGCUGGAGCAGCACCCUGAGGCUCUCUGCAGACCAGUGGGAGAAGGUGACCUGUGAGGCCAAGAGAGGAUCCCAGACUGCAGUCUCAGAGACUCUCAGGAGAGACCAGUGCUCCCAGUCCUGAACUGAAGCAUUCACAUAACUGUUCUCUUUAAUUGCUUCUUUCAAAUUUUUAUUCAAUUGACAAAAUCUUCCUUU